rnacentral:lncRNA from 1 species
UGGGCGCCCGACGCCGCUGGAUGGAGUAGCCUAGGGGGCGGCGGACUCUUUAGAGGGAGGAAGGGAGGGAGGGCGCGUCACGAGGUCCCGCUUCCGGGCCCCCGCGCGCUGGGGCUUGGGACAGUUUUAAAUGCGGAGUCAUCUUUGGAUUCGUGAGCCCAGGUCAAACGGGGAGGAAGUUGGCGCCUCUUGCGAAGGACAGAGCGGUCUGCGAAGUUGUGUGCAAGUGGCAAGGAGAUGAAAGCUUUGUGCUCAUUACGCUCUCCACGUUCCGGAAUUAGGAACUCCUGAAGGCGUUUUGAGCUGUUUGUCUCUACAGAUUUAGGCUAUAAAGUGGUUUGGUUUACCGUAAGUACCCCCCCCCCCCAGAGAUUCAGCCUCUACCAUCCCAGGUUCCCUAAAUGACUUCUUAGUGUGGUGGAAAGGACGAAAAAGGAAAACGAACUCGGAUACAACCCACCCGAGUGUGGACCACCCGUCAAUCUUAACCGCUUCUGUUCUGUCACGUUAGCAAAGUAAAGGGAUUUGCACAUUGGCCAGCACAUGGUGACUAACCACAUCUGAAAUCCAUGCCCCUGACUCACCAACUUGCCUGGCCUGUCACUUAACAAGAGAUCAGGCAGAUUCUGCUUCUAUCUUAGCAUGCAAUUAUCAGCAGAUGACCCUUGACAUCCAACCAAAUCCUGCCUCGGUAUCAGUAGUUCACAGAACAGACUCCUGUUCGGUGGGCAGAAUUUAAGUGACACUUUUCCUGGUCCCAGGGACUUGAGAACAAAUAAAAUGUAAUGUGAAAGUGUGAAGUUUAUAUUCAAAAAGCAGAUCUAAUCGAGCUACGUCAUACUAUUCCGUGAAGCCAGUAUGUGAAUAUCAAAAGACUAGCAGAGCAAGUAAAAUGUAUAGCCUGCUUGUGACCUCGGGGAAGGGAUUAGAAAAGACAGAAGGCCAUGAAUACUAGGAAAUUGGACAUAAUAAGGUCUCUCUCUUUACAUAUUUCUAUGGUAUGUGUUGUUUUUAGGUUUUGGAUUCAUUUAUUUAUUGGUGUUUUUGAGACAAGGUUUCUCGGUGUAGCCCUGGCUCUUCUGGAACUCACUUUUGUAGAUCAGGUUGGCCUCUGCUGGGACUGUCACAAAAUACGUUUGUGCCACCACACACAGAUCUAUUCUCUGCGCUUUAACCUUUUUUUUUUUUUUUUUUUUAAAGUCAGGGUCAACUUUUCAGAACAGCCUGGAUUGCAAAGAGAGCUUGUAGAUCAGGCUGGCCUUGAACUCAGAUCCUCCUCCCUUUGCCUCCUUAGUGCUGGGGAUUAAAGCUUGAAAGCUUCUAAUAGCAUUGUAUGAAACAUACUGGAUUUCCAAUUUUUGAGUUCAUAUUUUUAAGGUAUGUAGACACAUAAUAGUGCUUUUUCUUUUUUUUUUUUUAUUGUAAUGAGUAUCUUUCAUACUGGGGUCAGUUGGAAAAACCUGGUGCAAGGGAAAAUCCCAGGAGUCUACAAGGGUGACUCCAGCUAAGACUCUUAACGAUGGUGGAUGAGUAGCCUGAACUGCCCAUCUCCUAUGACCGGGCGGGUCUUCCAGUACAGGGAUUAGGACAUUAACCCAACCACACAACCUUUGUGCUAGGGUGGCUUGGAGAUUGUGGGAGUGGCGAAUCAAUGACCUGUCUAUCCUCAGAUCCAUACCAGGAGAGUGAGCGCACACAUGACCUGGCGUGCCAGGACCCAGAGGCUGGAUGGUCCAGAGACUUAGGAUAGAACAAACACAAAUGGGGGGAGGGGGAAUCUCAAUGUAAUGAUGCCUAAUGAUAUUCUGCUAUACCCAUUAGACUGGUAACUACCCCAGUUGUCAUAAGAGAGCCUUCAUCCAGUAACUGAUAGAAGCAGAUUUGGAGACCCACAGCCAAGCAAUGGGCAGAAGAAAGCCAAGGAUUGAUUGUAUGAGUCAGCAAGGUCAAGGACAACACAAGGGAAGCCAUAGAAAUAACUAACGUGAGCUCGCCGGGCAUGGGUGGCACACACCUUUAAUCCCAGCACUCAGGAG